ACUUAGACAUGACAUUCCUUGGCCUCCCUUUCAGCAAGAUGAGAAAACUGAGGCACAGAGAGGUGAAAUAAGGCCCCCAGAAUGCUCUUCUCCAAGACUUAGAAAAAUCAAAUGCUAUCCAUCCCUCAAGAUACAUCCCUCCAGCCCCUCCUUGAAGUCUCCUGCAGCUAGAAGUAGAAGUAGCAUCUAUCCCCAUCUGGACUCCUUAGCACUUUGCUGUACCUGCCUUAGUCCCCAUCUCUUUACACACACACACACACACACACACACACACACAGAGUAUUAUAAUACUAUUACCUAUUAUAUUACAUUAUAUUAUUGUAGUUCUACAGGAACUACAAGGAAUUCUACUGUGAAUUCCUUAAGGGUGGGAUACAUUUUACAAUCAUCACUGUUUCUCUCAUUAGUUGUGGAAUCAAAAAAAUGAGUGCACGAUGAAAAAUUAUUCAAACACAUACAUGCUUUCAUUCCAAUUGAAAAUGUAAAAAUAUUACUGUUAAAACAAUAUUAAAGGACAUGUAAUACAAUUCAAAUAUUCCUACCAUGCACGAUUGUUUUCACUUCUUUGUGCCUCUUUCACCAUUUAUUUGUGUGCAUACUCAGCAUAUUUGUUUGUGUAACAGGAUGUUAAAAAUAGAAUUUGUUGCCUGUAGUUUUUGCUAAAGCUCUACUAGACUGGAACAGAACAAUAGGUGGUAAAUACUCCAUUCCUCAGUGAGAUGCUACCUACCUAUGCAGAGCUGGAAAAGAUUUUGCAACCUGAAAACCCAAUCCUUUCUGAGAUAUAAAAGAACAGAAGAGUCUGGAAGUGAUUUCUUCGGAGAAAUUCAUUUUCUGUGAGUCUCACUCCUAAUCCCCUAUGAGAUAUCUGGGGGUGAAGGGCAGGUGCUGUUCCACACAGAGAGCUUGAUCCGUGCAUCUUGGAAGAGGGAGGUAGGUAGGGAACAGGGUGGGCUGCUUUGGGACCCAUGCCUUAAAACUCAGGUACUGGGGCUGGCUGGUUCUAAUGGCCAAGAGGUGAGAGGUGCACCUGUGGGGAACAACCUUCACUCUCAGUUUGUCAGGAUAGAGGAUAUGAGUCUUGCCCUGAGGAUGGGAUGUAGACUACAAGGGCAAGAGAGUCAGCUUAAAGAAAUCUGUAGAACUAUCUGCCAGGACUGAGGUGACCAUAGCAGAGAGAUGUUGGAGGUAUUCUGUUGGGAACAAGAUGGUGUGAGGUAAAGAUUGUAUUUGAUACCUGCUGGAGAAGAGAUCUUGCAUUAAGGCCAGCAUUAAGAGAACUUCAGAUGAGAAAUCCCUGGUGAAGCAGAGUCUCCAAAGAAUGCAUAAGAGCUCUGCAGUGAGAAAGAGAUCACCUGAAUACCUUCCAAAAUCAAAGCGUGGCAGUGACCAGCUAAGCAGAUCUUUCCUGUCUUCUACCUGGAAGGGCCUGAAACUGCAAUUCAUGAGUUUGGGGAAGGCAGAGAGGCACAAAGUGGGGAAAUGGAAAAGUUGACUAUGUCCGCUUUCCUACUGCAGUAUUCCAGAGAAGAAACUUCAAGCUCAGAAUAUUGGCUACUACCUGUGAUAAACAUUUAAAUUAUUGGAACGAGAGAGUUUUUAUAACUAAAUUUGAAAGAAGCAAUUUUUUUUAUCAAAGACCAACCCGAAGAUUCAUGACCACUACCUGUGAUUUCAUCCAUGUUGCAAGGAAAAUCCUGCCCCACUUCCCCAAUAGGAAGAGUGGUGGGGGAAUAAUAAAGUUGUUUUAUGAUGCAUCCUGUGGACUUCUACUCGACAGAAUGGUAACAUUCAACUGUAAUCAGGAUGAGCAAGCCACUUUAUUAAACUAAAAUUUUAAACUUUAAUAAAUAUAAUACAAACUGAAAAAUAAAAAUAAUUUUUCAACUCUACACAAGUAUGUUAACUGCAUAAACAGUGAGAUGUUACACAGGGCUGAGGCCUAUACUUCUUCAGUUUGUACAUUAAACGUCUCCAUGGAGGGUCAAUUGCAUCCUACCUAUUCUGACAGUUAUCAGGUAGCGAGAGAUUUGAGGAAGAGGCGCUUUUCUAAUCUGGGGUAGGAAAAGGAAUGAUACCAUGUAUCAUGAGAAGUAUUUGCACAUAGUGUGUCAAUUAAGCAAGUGCUCAGACUAUUAACAACAUUACUAUGUGAUGAAUGUUUAUACAGUGGAUUCAAAAAUAAGCUUCUUUCCAGAAAGCAGCUUAGUUUUCAUUAAUUAUUACCAGCAUCUUGGUAAUUAUUUAUUUAAUGGUUUAAAAGUUAAAGUUUCAAUCUAUAUUUGUUUUUUUAACAUCAGCCAAGGAAAUACAUGUCUGUUAUACUGCAUCUUUGGAAGUAUGCAAUAAGUGUAACUAUUGAAUCUAUAUUGAAGAGCCACAAGACACUGAAUUUAAUUGGACGAGACUAUUUUAUUUAGGAAGACAAUCAUCUCCUGUGAUCAGCUUAAGGUUUUUGUUUUGUUUUAUCUGGAACAAGCUAAGUUCAUAUUUAGAAAAUAAAGUUAGUUUUUUGGGUGCAUGAGUUUUAGAGUAAAUUAGUAAUUUAGUAAACUUUGACAUUUCCACUUUGUCUCCAAACACAUUUAAAUUCUAUCUGUCUGACUGAAGUUCUAAGGCAUUCUGUGGUUACUUAGAAAUGAUUCCUUAUAUUAAUGUUUACAAAUGCUAAAUUGUAUUUGUUAAAUACAUGUCUUAUUGCCUAAGAGUUUUCCUUUCUUAUAAGUUUAAUAUAAAUGUCUAGGAAAUAAGACUCCCAUUUAAUAGCUUAUAAAGAAUGCUGAUGUAUCAGCAGUGGCCUUGACAUUAUUGGAUACAAGUAAGAUCUACACUGAUGAUUAAAUCAAAUUGGCUAAGAUUAUUCGUUCUAAUAAAAGCACUGACUCCAUGAAGUUUUCUUGUGGCUGAAAUUAACAUUCGUGUUCCUACAAGCUCUUUAAAAUCUUAGUUACUGAAAAUUAUUCCUUUUGACCUAAUUUUUUCUUUACUUUGGAUGUAUUUGACAAGGUAGAGGUUAGGGAUUGGAGAGUAUGUAAAGAAUGAAAUAAAAUGUAGUCACUUUUAACUAUAUCCACAUAUAUCCACAGGGAGAUGGGGGUUAACACUGAUAAUUAUUCUCAACAUUCUUCUGGGUUUGGAGUUAAUUGAGAAAUACACAUAGCGGUCAGAAACAUAG
rnacentral:lncRNA from 10 species